AUUGAACGCUGGCGGCAGGCUUAACACAUGCAAGUCGAACGAGUGGCGGACGGGUGAGCAAUGUCUGGGAAACUGCCCGGUGGAGGGGGAUAACUACUGGAAACGGUAGCUAAUACCGCAUACCAUCGGAUGUGCCCAGAUGGGAUUAGCUAGUAGGUGGGGUAAAGGCUCACCUAGGCGACGAUCCCUAGCUGGUCUGAGAGGAUGACCAGCCACACUGGAACUGAGACACGGUCCAGACUCCUACGGGAGGCAGCAGUGGGGAAUAUUGGACAAUGGGGGCAACCCUGAUGCAGCCAUGCCGCGUGUAUGAAGAAGGCCUUCGGGUUGUAAAGUACUUUCAGCGGGGAAGCGUUACCCGCAGAAGAAGCACCGGCUAACUACGUGCCAGCAGCCGCGGUAAUAC
rnacentral:rRNA from 1 species